rnacentral:rRNA from 1 species
UACAGAGGGGGCAAGCGUUGCUCGGAAUUACUGGGCGUAAGGGGCGCGUAGGCGGCCGCCUAAGUCAGACGUGAAAUCCCUCGGCUCAACCGGGGAACUGCGUCUGAUACUGGGUGGCUUGAAUUCGGGAGAGGGAUGCGGAAUUCCAGGUGUAGCGGUGAAAUGCGUAGAUAUCUGGAGGAACACCGGUGGCGAAGGCGGCAUCCUGGACCGAGAUUGACGCUGAGGCGCGAAAGCCAGGGGAGCAAACGGG